AGAGUUUGAUCCUGGCUCAGAUUGAACGCUGGCGGCGUGCCUAACACAUGCAAGUCGAGCGGUAACAGGUGUAGCAAUACAUGCUGACGAGCGGCGGACGGGUGAGUAACGCUUGGGAAUCUGCCUAUUAGUGGGGGACAACCCGGGGAAACUCGGGCUAAUACCGCAUACGCACUACGGUGGAAAGUCGGGGACCGCAAGGCCUGGCGCUAAUAGAUGAGCCCAAGUCGGAUUAGCUAGUUGGUAGGGUAAUGGCCUACCAAGGCGACGAUCCGUAACUGGUCUGAGAGGACGACCAGUCACACCGGAACUGAGACACGGUCCGGACUCCUACGGGAGGCAGCAGUGGGGAAUAUUGGACAAUGGGCGAAAGCCUGAUCCAGCGACGCCGCGUGGGUGAAGAAGGCCUGCGGGUUGUAAAGCCCUUUCAGUGGGGAAGAAAAGCCUCGACCUAACACGUCGGGGUCUUGACGUAACCCAUAGAAGAAGCACCGGCUAACUCUGUGCCAGCCGCCGCGGUAAUAC
rnacentral:rRNA from 1 species